GACGGGGGGGGCAAGUGUUCUUCGGAAUGACUGGGCGUAAAGGGCGCGUAGGCGGCCACCGCAAGUCGACUGUGAAAUCUCCGGGCUUAACCCGGAAAGGUCAGCCGAUACUGCGGGGCUAGAGUGCAGAAGGGGCAACUGGAAUUCUCGGUGUAGCGGUGAAAUGCGUAGAUAUCGAGAGGAACACCUGCGGCGAAGGCGGGUUGCUGGGCUGACACUGACGCUGAUGCGCGAAAGCUAGGGGAGCGAACGGG
rnacentral:rRNA from 1 species